UGCUCACACCUGUGCUGUGGC
rnacentral:misc_RNA from 1 species